CUUGCAAUUUCCAGUAAGAAUAUUUAUAAUAUAUUCCGUCGCGAAAGCGAAGAUGAUUCUGAAUUCGUUGCGGAAUAAUCGUUUUGGACUGGGGGGCGGUACCCCACAGCUCCACCAAUAUUUCACGGGGCUGACAUAGUUUCGACAGGCGAAGUAAAGGCAAAUCGAUUGAAUCCGGGUAGUUCCGUUAAAGACAACUAAAAACUGAAUGGCGAUAGAAUCGCUGCGAACGACAAUGUUCGCUUUGCAAUGGCUGCCUAAUGUGGCAUUGAAAUACUUUGGCAAUUGUUAGGGUAUUUCGUUAUAGCUUUUGCGGGGUCGUCGGGUACCUGGCACCAGAAACCC
rnacentral:tmRNA from 1 species